CGUCCUGGAAACGGUGAACGGAAACUUAGAAAUAAGGAGCCGCGCACAGGGAGCUCGAAGAUGCAACUCAGGCUGAUGGAGAUGAUUGUGUUUGGGCUCCUUGAUUAGUAAGUUCAAGAUGCUGGAAGUAGUGUGUGAACUGUGUUGCAGCCCAUCAAAAUGGUGUUUUCUUUCUCUUUCAUCUCUUACGAGCACAAAGAUGCUGUAUGCCUUGGAACAUGCCAUGAAUGCAUGCUGGGAGUUCCUGAAGGUGCUUAAGCCUGGACAGGUUUUCCUGGUGACCAAUGAGUGCCCUAGGGUCUGUGCUGAGGAUAAAGAACUCCAGUUCCAGAACCCCCACUGAAGACUGCAAGCAGGGGAGUCCUUGUCUGCCUCUGCGCCCAACACUUGCCCUAUUACAUGCUCCGUUUCUUCCUGCCUGUCCACACGAGCGAAUCCCCCCAGCAGCCCUCAUGUGUUUCAGCACUGUCAAAAAACCUCAAGACAGCAUCAUGGAGUUCCUUUGGAACAGAAAGUGUGACCCAGUCAGGCCUGUGCUGCUUAACCAAGCCGCUCUUUCACCAGUGCAGCAGUCCAUGCAGCGAAAGCCAUUACAUCUCUUUUCCUUCCAGCAAGAUGUUCUAUUCUAUCACCUCAUGCUUAUCCAACAAGCAACUGUCAGAGACUGAGAUCUGACAGAGAUGUGAAUCCCCAGCUUCCUGGCUGGCAGCAUUAAUGGCCAUGCUUGCAGAGUGUUUUGCUGUCUUAAUAGCAGCUGUCAUCACCACUUUGGGAAUGCAUCUCACUCUGACCAGCAGCCACAGAAGAUUAAUGUGUGUGAUCCUAGAGGAAUUGUUUCUUCUGGCUGCUGAUGUGCCACAAUUAGCACCUUCAUCUCUAAGCUGGUACUUUGUUCCUUGUUAAUAAAAUGAUUGUUGAGGAUUUCCUUCCAGAGAGUUGGGGGAGUGCCAUGUGAGAGAGGCAGUGAUGAUGAAUCUGCUGAACAGAGGCACAGCUUGGGAGUGGUGCAGAGAUUGUAUUGCUCGUGUCACCACCUCAUUACUGUUGUUGGUUUUUAUGGCACCAUAAACAUUGGGCUGCACCGUUUCCCUCCCAUCGCAGACAGUGAAACGAUGGAGCUAUCAGCACCUCCAAGGAGGCACUCAACAUCUUGCAGGAGUGAACUCGGUGCCUAUACAAAGGAUAGUGUAGAAGCAGCCAAGGAGAAGUUGGAGCACAGGCAUCCGUAGGACAAACUAGGCAUCCUCUCCUGAGGCUGAGGGGUUACAACAACAUUUCAAAAGAAAACCUCAUCUCCGAAAUGGAGACAUACAGCACUAAUGUUCUCUUGUCAUACUAUGAUUUCAAAGUGUAAGAAGUAGCCACACUCUAUGAUGUCUCCUGUUGCGAAGUAAGGAAAUAUACCAUCUUCACAGUUGUAUCUAUACCACCACUAGUGUGCAAGGCAAGUUCUGCAAUUUUUAGCAGGGAAAUUGUGCACAAGUGAAGCCUUGAAGCAUGUGGACGUUCCCAUAACUGGUUAACAGAAGAAAUUCAAGCAACUGACUCACUGACCUGCAUUCAUUUUCACUGCGGUCUUCAAACCCUAGACAGCAGGGGAGAGCCUGCUCAAAGCUGCAGUCAUUUCUGAACCGUGAGCUAUCUCCAGUGCAGCGUAGUCCUCUCACAGCUUCGUGGGGACCAUGCUCAUUUGGUCACAUAAUGCAAAAAAGCAGGAACCAUGAUACACGCUCUAGAUGCCAUUGUAAUGCUUUCAGAGCUAGCAAAGGGAGGAUGUUUCACUGGUAAUGGUGCUGGGGAAGAGUCGGUUCAUACCUAGGUUCAGCUGCAGACUUCACAGGCAUCUCCAUACCAUUUCACACCAUUAAGCUCCCUGAGACGGUGCAUUAGGACACAGAUGUUGUGUGGCUGGAUCUGGAGUGCUCCCACUGAGGGACUGCAGGAAGAUCGUAGAAAAAGUCUGAACGGGACCACAAGAAAUUGUUUAGCCAGCCACUGUGACUCAAGACUGUGUCUCCAAUACCUAAACUACUGCCUGCAGACAGCAGCGUGACCUGCCUGCUCUCAGAAGCCUGCAGCACUGGGAAAUCCACAGCUUCCCUCCACAAAUUAUUCAGCAGCUUAGCUAUUCCUGUGCACUCCCUACAGUCUCAUCAAAAUUUCCUCAGCUACACUUUAAACUUAUGACUUAUUGCCCUUAUCACAAUAGAUUCAGUAAAUAUUUUAUUCCUUUUCUUUUUGCAAUUACCUUCCACAUACUUGAGCACUGUUAUCAUGUCUUUCCUUAGCCUUUCCACUCCAGACUUAAAUAAACCAAGUCUUUUAAUCUUUCAUCACAGGCCACGUUUUCUAGAGCUCUGGUAAUUCCUCUUGCUUUUCUUUGGACUUCUUCCAACUGAUCUUCCCGUUUCUUGCUUCAAACUGAAUAGUCUGCUAGCUGGAGUGUCACGGUGUGAGCAGACUGGCAGGUGAUCUAUCAGCUCACAAAACACAGCGAGGCCAAGUAAAAUCGAAGCAGAUGAGUACAUCAUCAGCUCCUAGUUUAUCUACUAUCUGUAAUGUUUCUACUGAGUCGUAUUGUUUACUGGUAUGCCAGCUGACACCAAAGAAGCUUUGUGUUCCUUUCCACCUACAUUUUGGCCAACUGUAGUCUGAUUAAUGUUCAUAGCAAGAGGUGAGAUGGGUUCCAAGCCUGCUCUUUUUAAACCAUCCAUCAUUAUUAACCUACUAAGCCAAAUGAAAACGUUCUUUGAUGAUAGCUCCCGCCCCUGGGGAGGAAGAGGUUGGAAGAAAAGUUGGAGAGAAUGAAACAUUUCAUUAAUUACCCCAUAGCAACUCAGUGGGAGGCUGGAUAUUUUCCUAAGCUCCCAAACUGUUUUGUGCACACAUCCUCCCCCACAUUUUUUUCUACUUGGUACAUUAUUUCCAUCUCUCUGCUAAACUCUUGGUGUUGCCAGUUUCCAUGCUAAGAUCUCGCACAAACUCCCUUGCUGGUGAAAACGGGGUCAUUUCUAUGAAUCACUCAGACUGAGAGGAGUUAUCACAUGCCAAGAUGCUUGUGAUGGAUAGACUUUAAUGGAAGCUGUGACUUCACAUAUUUAUAUGUAUAGAUCAGCCUCCAGCUGUAGAAGGAUUCCCUCACCUCUAUCAGUUCAACUUGGGAUGUGAUCUCGCCACGCUUUGCUUUCUCAUGGAAUUCCUCCAAGUAAAGCCCUCAUUGCUGUGGGAAGCUUGCUUUAGCUUUAGUAGUUGCCCUCCACCAUUUCAGCUUCCAAAUCAGUCUCUUAUUGUAAAGUUUGCCUGGUGUCCACAUAAAUCAUCGUGCUCAUGGUAAAGGAUUGAAGCCAAAUCCCUCAACACCAGCAUCCCCAAUCCCUGUAACUUUUAUUGAAACUAUAUAAGUUGCCUGUAAAGUAGCAAUUUACUCCAGCAGUUACAUAUCUUUCUUAAACUUGGAUGUAACAUUGCUAUAAUAGUUCCUGCUUUACUUUAAAAGUGGCUGCAUUCAAAGAAAGGAUUUUUGCAGCCAGAGCCUGAGUAGACAAUGACAUUUUUUCUCACGUGCUUCUUUAAAGCACACACACAAAUUCCUCUUUGUGUAAUGAGCCCCCAAGCUGUGGGGAUGGUCCCGUCAAGAGCAAGUCUGAAGUUCUCUGUUCUUUGCCCUGUGUUGGCUCUGAAAUGCUGCUGGAUGUAAUGCUCUUCCCUCCACUUCUCCUUGCCAGGUUUAUCAGUCAUUUGAAAAAAAGAAAAAAGAUGCUCUUGCUUAGCAUUUUGUUUCUGUAGGAUUUCUUUUCUUCAAUGCAAUGUAAAGGAUAAGCUCUGUGUUAUUGUCUUUGGAUAUGGAAUUGCACAGUUUAAAGACCCACUCUUAAAACAAUGUAGAUUAAGGCUGGAUUGAGGCUGGACUAAGGCAAUGUUCACUUUAGGAAUGCCAAAUACUAAUAUUGGUCAUUUUUAAGACUUUAUCAGUGUGCACUUUUGGAUUAACAGUUAAUUAAAAAAAAUCCCUCUGGUGCUCUUAUUUAUUCAAAUAGUGUAUAGGCAGGAGGUGAGAUUAAAAAAUAACCCCUCCAUAAUUUUAUAUCGAGUUCCUGAUUACAGAUUGCCAGUGUGUGUCAGUUAAAUAUAAAUGCAAAAUAGUUCACUUUUUUUAAUUCUCUAAAGAUCUGAAUUGCUAAUGAUAGACAUUGCAGAGUGGAAGGAAAAAUCAUUAACUGUUUAUAUUCACAAAUUAAAAUGGUGUUUUUCCAUUCCUAAUGAAGGCUGAAAGAAAUGCCAGGCCGUGUACUUUUUUGGACUCUGUACACUGUGAGCACAUUUCCCUGGUUGGGAACCGGCUCCUGGUGAGUGCCGCGCCCACAGCUUCCAAAAAUUCCAGAUGACUACAAUUUCACCUCAUGGGACCAGGAACCAAAAUUGUACCAGAGAUCCUGGCAUUCAAAUCCAACCCUCAAUUCCCUUUACACUCAAAAAGGCAGGAACUCUCAGUUUUGUUUUUGACAUCUCUCACUCCACAUGGUAUCUAGCUUAUUAUUUGGCUCUCUGGCCUUCUUUUUCAUUCCAGAUUUUUCUGUUAUUACUAUAGCAUCUUUACUCCAUCUACUCUGUGGACAAUGCAUUAGACAAACUUUGGGAAAACAUCUCUGUUCCUCAGUGUAUUUGCU